rnacentral:rRNA from 1 species
UUAAGCGACUAAGCGUACACGGUGGAUGCCCUGGCAGUCAGAGGCGAUGAAGGACGUGCUAAUCUGCGAUAAGCGUCGGUAAGGUGAUAUGAACCGUUAUAACCGGCGAUGUCCGAAUGGGGAAACCCAGUGUGUUCCGACACACUAUCAUUAACUGAAUCCAUAGGUUAAUGAGGCGAACCGGGGGAACUGAAACAUCUAAGUACCCCGAGGAAAAGAAAUCAACCGAGAUUCCCCCAGUAGCGGCGAGCGAACGGGGAGGAGCCCAGAGCCUGAAUCAGUGUGUGUGUUAGUGGAAGCGUCUGGAAAGGCGCGCGAUACAGGGUGACAGCCCCGUACACAAAAAUGCACAUGCUGUGAGCUCGAUGAGUAGGGCGGGACACGUGGUAUCCUGUCUGAAUAUGGGGGGACCAUCCUCCAAGGCUAAAUACUCCUGACUGACCGAUAGUGAACCAGUACCGUGAGGGAAAGGCGAAAAGAACCCCGGCGAGGGGAGUGAAAAAGAACCUGAAACCGUGUACGUACAAGCAGUGGGAGCCCUGAUUUAUCAGGGUGACUGCGUACCUUUUGUAUAAUGGGUCAGCGACUUAUAUUCUGUAGCAAGGUUAACCGAAUAGGGGAGCCGGAGGGAAACCGAGUCUUAACUGGGCGUUAAGUUGCAGGGUAUAGACCCGAAACCCGGUGAUCUAGCCAUGGGCAGGUUGAAGGUUGGGUAACACUAACUGGAGGACCGAACCGACUAAUGUUGAAAAAUUAGCGGAUGACUUGUGGCUGGGGGUGAAAGGCCAAUCAAACCGGGAGAUAGCUGGUUCUCCCCGAAAGCUAUUUAGGUAGCGCCUCGUGAAUUCAUCUCCGGGGGUAGAGCACUGUUUCGGCAAGGGGGUCAUCCCGACUUACCAACCCGAUGCAAACUGCGAAUACCGGAGAAUGUUAUCACGGGAGACACACGGCGGGUGCUAACGUCCGUCGUGAAGAGGGAAACAACCCAGACCGCCAGCUAAGGUCCCAAAGUCAUGGUUAAGUGGGAAACGAUGUGGGAAGGCCCAGACAGCCAGGAUGUUGGCUUAGAAGCAGCCAUCAUUUAAAGAAAGCGUAAUAGCUCACUGGUCGAGUCGGCCUGCGCGGAAGAUGUAACGGGGCUAAACCAUGCACCGAAGCUGCGGCAGCGACGCUGAUGCGUUGUUGGGUAGGGGAGCGUUCUGUAAGCCUGUGAAGGUGUGCUGUGAGGCAUGCUGGAGGUAUCAGAAGUGCGAAUGCUGACAUAAGUAACGAUAAAGCGGGUGAAAAGCCCGCUCGCCGGAAGACCAAGGGUUCCUGUCCAACGUUAAUCGGGGCAGGGUGAGUCGACCCCUAAGGCGAGGCCGAAAGGCGUAGUCGAUGGGAAACAGGUUAAUAUUCCUGUACUUGGUGUUACUGCGAAGGGGGGACGGAGAAGGCUAUGUUGGCCGGGCGACGGUUGUCCCGGUUUAAGCGUGUAGGCUGAUUUUCCAGGCAAAUCCGGAGAAUCAAGGCUGAGGCGUGAUGACGAGGCACUACGGUGCUGAAGCAACAAAUGCCCUGCUUCCAGGAAAAGCCUCUAAGCAUCAGGUAACAUCAAAUCGUACCCCAAACCGACACAGGUGGUCAGGUAGAGAAUACCAAGGCGCUUGAGAGAACUCGGGUGAAGGAACUAGGCAAAAUGGUGCCGUAACUUCGGGAGAAGGCACGCUGAUAUGUAGGUGAAGCGACUUGCUCGUGGAGCUGAAAUCAGUCGAAGAUACCAGCUGGCUGCAACUGUUUAUUAAAAACACAGCACUGUGCAAACACGAAAGUGGACGUAUACGGUGUGACGCCUGCCCGGUGCCGGAAGGUUAAUUGAUGGGGUCAGCGCAAGCGAAGCUCUUGAUCGAAGCCCCGGUAAACGGCGGCCGUAACUAUAACGGUCCUAAGGUAGCGAAAUUCCUUGUCGGGUAAGUUCCGACCUGCACGAAUGGCGUAAUGAUGGCCAGGCUGUCUCCACCCGAGACUCAGUGAAAUUGAACUCGCUGUGAAGAUGCAGUGUACCCGCGGCAAGACGGAAAGACCCCGUGAACCUUUACUAUAGCUUGACACUGAACACUGGUCCUUGAUGUGUAGGAUAGGUGGGAGGCUUUGAAGUGUGGACGCCAGUCUGCAUGGAGCCGUCCUUGAAAUACCACCCUUUAAUGGCUGGUGUUCUAACGUUGGCCCGUAAUCCGGGUUGCGGACAGUGUCUGGUGGGUAGUUUGACUGGGGCGGUCUCCUCCUAAAGAGUAACGGAGGAGCACGAAGGUUGGCUAAUCCUGGUCGGACAUCAGGAGGUUAGUGCAAUGGCAUAAGCCAGCUUGACUGCGAGCGUGACGGCGCGAGCAGGUGCGAAAGCAGGUCAUAGUGAUCCGGUGGUUCUGAAUGGAAGGGCCAUCGCUCAACGGAUAAAAGGUACUCCGGGGAUAACAGGCUGAUACCGCCCAAGAGUUCAUAUCGACGGCGGUGUUUGGCACCUCGAUGUCGGCUCAUCACAUCCUGGGGCUGAAGUAGGUCCCAAGGGUAUGGCUGUUCGCCAUUUAAAGUGGUACGCGAGCUGGGUUUAGAACGUCGUGAGACAGUUCGGUCCCUAUCUGCCGUGGGCGCUGGAGAACUGAGGGGGGCUGCUCCUAGUACGAGAGGACCGGAGUGGACGCAUCACUGGUGUUCGGGUUGUCAUGCCAAUGGCACUGCCCGGUAGCUAAAUGCGGAAGAGAUAAGUGCUGAAAGCAUCUAAGCACGAAACUUGCCCCGAGAUGAGUUCUCCCUGACCCUUUAAGGGUCCUGAAGGAACGUUGAAGACGACGACGUUGAUAGGCCGGGUGUGUAAGCGCAGCGAUGCGUUGAGCUAACCGGUACUAAUGAACCGUGAGGCUUAACCUU